rnacentral:rRNA from 1 species
AGACCCGAAACCCGGUGAUCUAGCCAUGGGCAGGUUGAAGGUUGGGUAACACUAACUGGAGGACCGAACCGACUAAUGUUGAAAAAUUAGCGGAUGACCUGUGGCUGGGGGUGAAAGGCCAAUCAAACCGGGAGAUAGCUGGUUCUCCCCGAAAGCUAUUUAGGUAGCGCCUCGUGAAUUCAUCUCCGGGGGUAGAGCACUGUUUCGGCUAGGGGGCCAUCCCGGCUUACCAACCCGAUGCAAACUGCGAAUACCGGAGAAUGUUAUCACGGGAGACACACGGCGGGUGCUAACGUCCGUCGUGAAGAGGGAAACAACCCAGACCGCCAGCUAAGGUCCCAAAGUCAUGGUUAAGUGGGAAACGAUGUGGGAAGGCCCAGACAGCCAGGAUGUUGGCUUAGAAGCAGCCAUCAUUUAAAGAAAGCGUAAUAGCUCACUGGUCGAGUCGGCCUGCGCGGAAGAUGUAACGGGGCUAAACCAUGCACCGAAGCUGCGGCAGCGACACUGUGUGUUGUUGGGUAGGGGAGCGUUCUGUAAGCCUGUGAAGGUGGCCUGUGAGGGUUGCUGGAGGUAUCAGAAGUGCGAAUGCUGACAUAAGUAACGAUAAAGCGGGUGAAAAGCCCGCUCGCCGGAAGACCAAGGGUUCCUGUCCAACGUUAAUCGGGGCAGGGUGAGUCGACCCCUAAGGCGAGGCCGAAAGGCGUAGUCGAUGGGAAACGGGUUAAUAUUCCCGUACUUGGUGUUACUGCGAAGGGGGGACGGAGAAGGCUAUGUUGGCCGGGCGACGGUUGUCCCGGU